rnacentral:rRNA from 1 species
UACGGAGGGUGCAAGCGUUAUCCGGAUUUACUGGGUUUAAAGGGUGCGUAGGCGGGCUUUUAAGUCAGUGGUGAAAACUCCGAGCUUAACUCGGAAACUGCCAUUGAUACUAUUAGUCUUGAAUUUAGUUGAGGUUGGCGGAAUGUGUCGUGUAGCGGUGAAAUGCUUAGAUAUGACACAGAACACCGAUUGCGAAGGCAGCUGGCUAAACUAAAACUGACGCUGAGGCACGAAAGUGUGGGGAUCAAACAGG